AGAGCGAGGUGUGUGUGUGUGUGUGUGUGUGUGUGUGUGUGUGUGUGUGUGUGUGUGUGUGUGUGUGCGUGUGUGUGUGUCAGAGGGAGGUCUGCAGGGAACAAAUCAGGACUGUGAUGGUAAUUUAACUUUUUCUCUCAAGGGUCGUGUGAGCUGCAGGUUUACGGCUGAUGAGGCGGUCACCCGACAGCAGGUUUAAGAGCCGUCCCUCUUUCUUUUCCUCAGAAUGAGCUGACUCACGGCUGAGCAGGAGGUCAACGGACAUGAGUGAGUGAAACGAACCCUCAUUUUGAAGGAAGCUUCCUGUCCGGUUAAACACCUCAGAGUGAAGUUUUUGAAGAGGCAGCUGCUGAGCUCCGACUGGACGAGUGAUUAUUAAACCUCAGUGAUGAUAAACGGAAACAAGCCAAAGGUGACGACACAACGCUUUCUCGUAAACUGCAGAUGUCCAGAAAGGAGUUCAAAAAGGAGACUUGAACAUUUUGACCCCCUCUUCAAAAAAAGGGAGAGCCUCUCUAUGUUUUCCCAGCGAAAAGAAUAUUAAAAUUGUCUCCGUUGUUACAGAUGUGUUACAGGUUUCCUCAUCAAACUUUUCCCAGUAGAAAAAAUAUUAGACGGACGGAAAGAGGUUGAAAAAUAAACCCUAAAUGAAAAGCUCUCUCCAUCAGAAUAAAAAGUGUGAGUGAGUUUACUCAUCCACUUCAGGCAGCUACGGAUCGAUCAGUCCUGUUGUGAAAGUGGAUCAAACACCAGAACAAGAGUCUAAAUACAAACAGAAACCUGGUUUCAUUUCCAAAAGUUUGGGAUUUCUGUGGGUGCAGACUCAUUUAAAAAUGUGUUAGUGUGUGUGUGUGUUGGUGUGUGUGGGUGUGUGUGUGCAUGUUUUACUGGCAGAAAUAUUGCAUCACCUAGAAAUAGCAGGAGCCAAACAAUUUCAUAGGACUUGCCCCACCUUGCACAAGUCUUACAGAAGCACAGGAAAUGUUGCAGAAAUGAGCAACAAAGGGGAAAUGACAACUGUUUCAUUAAAAAGUUUAUUAUUAAGAUUGGAAAUUCACAUGAGCUAUGUUCACUUCCGUCAUCAUGCUUGUAAAGUACUGGCAGAGACAACAGCUUCACAUUCACUGUAUGACACAUUUUAUACUUCUGGAUUAUUAAAACCUUUUAAACAUUUUUUAUACAUCCAUGAGUUAAAGUAAAGACAUUUUACAACUGGGUAACAAUACAUUAUUAGAACCAAGAGUCAAAGAAAGUUAAUAUCAAUAUUAUCAAAUCCAUUGUUACCACCAUAACGGUGUCCAUGGAAUUGGAGUUCCGUAUGUGGAAGUAGAAGUCAAAUGUCCUGUGGUAGAAAAAAACCUGAGCAAUGCUGCCACCUUGUGGAAAUAAAUAUGUGAUGCUUCACAUGUCCUCGGGACAGAGACAGACA